rnacentral:rRNA from 1 species
UGGUGGAGCGAUUUGUCUGGUUAAUUCCGAUAACGAACGAGACUCUAGCCUAUUAAAUAGUUCGCCAUCCAUCUUGUCGGCGUCAACUUCUUAGAGGGACAAGUGUGUAUAGGCACGCGAGAUUGAGCAAUAACA